UGAAACAAAUUGAUCAGGAAAGUACAUCAUCGUCCGAUGUUUAGAGAGCUGCAAUUGGCUGAAAUGCAGUCUGAGGGAGAUAAUGGAAAAUGGCCUGUGAUUGGGUUUUAUAAAUGGCAAGUCCAUGAGUAAGACACGGGUUGGUCUUCGUUAUUAGACACACGUAUAGGCAUUGCAUCAUAUCGCACCCUGCUUGCACGUUCGGAGUUUUUAUUGAGCAAUCAUUAGAAAAAAAUAGAAUGGUAACACGAUUUGUCGUUUCUAGG
rnacentral:ncRNA from 1 species